UUGCAGUACUUCAUCCUUUUUAAUUCUUCAGCCGAUGGGAUUACAUGAUUAGGUGACAAUUUGAUCUGACCCUCUUGAAGCAGAAAGUCAAAUAUCCUAUCGGCCUUAGUGAUGUCAAACACGAACUUCUUUGGCUCUUUAUGCCCAAGACAAGACAUCGGUUUCUUAUUUUUCACCCCUUCUGCCAAGCCGAUGACUGGUUCUUCAUCAGAGUCCGAGCUUGUCGCUUCAUCCACAAAUGAUACCUUUUUAUUCCAUGCUCUCUUGGGCUCAAAAGGCUUGAUAUCUUGAUCAGAAAUUCUCUGCACCAAAUGACUUAAGCUUUCGAACUCCUGAGAUGCAUAUUUAUCCUUGAUGUGUGGCAACAAACCCUGGAAAGCCAAAUCGGCUAACUGCCGAUCAUCCAGAACCAGGCUAUAGCAUUUGUUCUUGACUUCCUGUAUCCUCUGCACAAAACUUUCAACCGAUUCAUCAUUACGUUGCUUCAAUUUGACCAAAUCAGUGAUCUUCUCAUGGACUCGAGAAAAGAAAUAUUUGUGAAAUUGCUUUUCUAGAUCGGCCCAUGUAAUCACUGAGUUAGGAGGUAAUGAUAUAAACCAGGUGAACGCCGAUCCAGACAUUGACGACGAGAAUAAUCGGACCCUUAACUCGUCUCUGUUAGCAGCUUCUCCACAUUGAAUGAUAAACUUGUUGACAUGUUCCAUAGUUGACGUGUCAUCCUGCCCAGAAAACUUAGUAAAAUCCGGCACUUUGUACCGAUUUGGGAGCGGGAUUAAAUCAUAAGCAGGAGGAUACGGUGUCUGAUAAGAGUAAGUGUUGACUUUGGGUUUUAUCCCAAAUUGGUCUCUCAUUACUUCAGCAAUCUUAUCGGCCCAAUAAGCAUCGGCAUCUUGCCGAUGAGGUGGUUGCGGAUAUGGGAUCUGCUGAUAUGCUUCCACGUGUCUAUGCGGGGCGCGAUCUGCAUGGAACAUUGGGUUGAUCAUCUGGCCACCAACCUGCUGUCCACCAAACUGUGGACCACCAAUCUGCUGCCCAAGAUUCAUCGGCUGGUUGGGCAAUCCUUGAUUCUGGAACCCAGGGUAGAUUUGGCCUUGUUGGAACCCCGUAGCCUGAUGAUUCUUUUGGGGCAUUUGUGGAAACACUUGCUGCCCAGACCAUCCACUAUUAGCAUUCAUCGGCAUAGGUCCUACCGAUGACUGGUAAUUGGGCAUCAUCAUUGAGUUGACAUACCCUUGCUGAGCCAUAAACCUCUGCUGCGUCGGCAUUGAGUCUGUCGAUGCAUUAGGCAUCUGGAACGUUGGAGCUUGAGAAUUCCCAGUGUAAGGCCUUGCAGUAGUGGUUGUAGUAUACUGGGGACUCUGAUUCAUCGGCAUAUUUGGAGGUGCCGAUGCCAUAGGAACCUUGCCUCUCAUAUCAGCUGCCUGAGACGUGCCAGGUGUCUUCAAGUAUUCCGGGGGCAUACCGAAACCCCACCAAUUAGGGGGAACCGAUCCCGACAUUGCCGAUGCCAAUAGAUCUGUAGUAAGCUUUAUCGACUCAUCGGAUGUUGAUGGAUUAGAUGGCAUCGGCGUUGAUUGCGCAUUAGACACUCCUAGCGUGCUUGGAGGAAUAGUAGUUUUUGUGCCCGCAGCGGCCGUAGCAGCCGAUGGAGCUGUCACCACUGGCGAUCCCGGCUGAUGAUAGACAGGGCCCACAUAAUUUGGUGGCAAUUGUCCUUCUUUGAAAGUUCUAGCCACGGCAUUGAAAACCGUAUUGGACAGCACACCAGCUUGGUUGAUCAAGGCACGGUUGAUAGCAUUAUCGACCAUGUCUUGGAGUUUACCAGGAUUGGCGUCGAAGGUAACCUGCCGAGGUGCCGGCAAUGCUUCUUUCUGGAUAACUUCGCCGCUCCUGUUUAUGCUAAAGGCCUUGAGACAUUGUUGCUUGUAAUCCUCCAUAGCCUUCGCAAUAGCUUGCUUCUGCUCAUCUUUGAGGCUAGCUUCUGUCACAGGGAUGACGUUCUCCAAAUCAAAAUCGCUAGUCGCCAUGCCGAUCUUGAUCUUGAAUAAGGUCCCACCAGGCGUGCCAAAAGAUGUGUUGAUGCAAAAGUUGAUCUGCAAACACAAAAGGCUAAUACCCGAUUUAAACGUUAAGGCGUGCCAGCCGAUUUGACCUUGCUAUCAGCAAAGGUGAUAACUCGAAUACUUUGGUCCCGACAACAGCGAUGCGCCCAGAUGCCACGGCCAAGAGGUAUUCACGCGGAACUUGAGAACACGUCGAGCUUAAGUCGACGGAUUCCUAAGAACUCAUAAUAAAAAGGAAAAAGUAUGACGAAGUCGUCGAAAAAGUAGAUGCUGGAAUAUGAGUAAAAACUUAUGUUUGAUUGAUUGGUAGAUGUCUCAAUUACAAAGCCCUAGGGUCUACAUUUAUACCCUGCUCGAAAGAGCUACAACCAGACACGACUAGAACUCGAAUUCCAAAUUAAACAGAAUCCGUAUACAAGACGAUCUAAAUAACUAAGGAAAAUCAUAAAACUAUCCCCCACGACAACCUGGGACACCACAAUAGACCAAUCGACAACCUUCAAGUCUUCCUUCCGCGUCAUCGGCAGACUCUCCAUCGUAGACAUUGGCAAAGGUUAUUGCCGGCCAUCGGCACAAACACGUCACCACCCAUGGACUUAGCCACAGCCAGCCGUCUCCUCAUCGGUAACCACCCUCAUCGGCAACUCUUCUGUAGACCACUUACCGUUGCCCUGUCUUGCCGAUCUAUACUCUACCAAUCCUGGGUACGUGUCCAAAAACGGUGUCAACAGAUACAACCCAAAAGAAUAUGGUCCAUGGACUUGGUUUCCUAAUCACAAAAAAUGCACGUACCCGUCACUUGCAAACCGUGACAGAAAUGACGCUCCGCCGUCCAGCACUGGCCAUGUAGGACGAGCCAGAAGAAGAAUCGAACUCUUGGCGGCGCAACAGUCCUCCAAAUUUGUUUUGCACCGAUUGGUAUGGUCAAACCUAGGAACAUGGCGCCGUAAGCAGAGGCACUCGAAUAGUUGCCAUUAGGCGAGAGGGUCCACGUGAAAGUAUCCGGCCUGCCCUGUAGUUAGUUGAACUUGCUCCAGCAUAUCGUACAGGGCAGCUGCCUCGACGACCAGCUGCAAGGUGAAUGCCUCGGACAGGUGCUGAGCCCAGGCGUGCAGCGGCAAGGCCUCAGCCACCGUCGCCCUCAUCUUCCGUUGGCGCACCGCGAGAAACAACGUUGGUGCGAGGCUGCAUAUACUCCUACCAUUGAGCCAUCGAUCAGUCCAGAAGAGCACAGAUCUACCAUCACCAAGAGUGAUCGCCAUGGCCACCUGAGCUAAGGCGAGAGCCCCAUGCUCGGUCGUUCUCGCCGCCCGUCCGUGUCGCCUGUCCUGCCAGACCCAACGUGUUCUGAAGGCCAUGCCCGUUUGCCUCAGCUCAGUGACGCCGAGGCCACCGAGCUCCUUUGGCAUGCAGACCCUGAGCCAACAAAUUUGCAUCUCCCUCCCGCCACCCCUGUCGUCCCAGCCCAAAUGAAACCACGCCUGAGCUUAUCGAUUACCUAGAUAGCCCAAGGCGAGAGUACCAGCGUGAUGGCAGUGUGGACUGGAAUAGCAGAUAACGUUGCCUUGACCAAUGCAGUGCGCCCAACUAUGUUGGGGAGAACUCCUUUCCAACUGGGUAGACGCGCCGCGACCUUGUCAACAAGAGGUUGCUCGUCAGCGCGCUUCAGCUUGUAGACGGACAACGGAAUCCCCAAGUAAUGAAUAGGAAAUUCGGCCACCCCGCAAGCAAGGAUCUCCUACACACGCAACAUGUCGGACUCAGUGCAGUGCAUUGGGGUCACUACGCUUUUGUCCAAGUUGGAGAACAGGCCUGAAGCACACCCAAAGACCUCAAGGAUAGCCUUAAUCGCGCGAAGGUCGGCCUCCAACGGUGCGACGAAGACCACCACAUCGUCCGCAUACAUGCUCACCCGGGAGCCCUCGACAGCUGGGAUCGGUGCUAGCAGGCCAUUGCAUUCCGCCCACCCUAAGCAUUUGUUCAGCACCUCCAUGGCCAAGACGAACAAAAGCGGCGACAAGGGGUCCCCUUGCCUUAGCCCAAGAGCAUGGCAAAUGCGACUCCCUGGGUUGCCAUUUAGAAGGAUUCUUGUGCUUGCAGUUGACAGUAAAACCAACACCCAGUUGCGCCACCUUCUCGGGAAGCCCAUGUGCUGAAGGACCUCUAGCAAAAAACACCAUGCAAUGCUGUCGAACGCCUUGGUGAUAUCGGAGUAAGCAUGGUAGCCGAGCCCUGUGAAUGGCCAUGCAAUUUAGCUGAACCGAUCUGAAGUUUUCAUGGAUACUCCGGCCUCGGAUGAAGGUGCUCUGGUUUGUGCACAAGCCGUUGCAGCACUGCCAAAGCUGUGAAUCAGGCUAAUGGGUCUAUAAUCGUGGAUUUGCGAUGGUUGUUCCUUCUUCUUUAUGAGGACCAUAAAGACCUCAUUUAGAUGGUAGAGGCUCCUAUAUUCCUGCGCCCAGAAGGCGUUUACUGCGUGCAUGAUGUCCACCUUCAUAAUGUGCCAGCAGCGCUUGUAGAAUAAGCCCGUGAAACCGUCAGGGCCCGGUGUUUUGUUGUUGGGCAUCUGUUGUAUGGCAACCCAUACUUCGUCCUCUGAGAACAGCCGCUCCAAGUCAUGGAGAUCCUCGCAUGCAAGUCGAAGCGUCUUGAGCACUCAAAAUUUGUGCCCAUGAUGCCGUUGAAGUACUCAUAUAGUGCCAAAUCCUUUUCUUUGUCACGGACCAGCCGCACCCCUUGCACAUCGAGGCUGUCAAUACGGUUUCUGCAGUUCCUAUGACACGCUUGCAAGUGGUAAAAUUUCGUGUUUGCAUCCCCUUCGUGCAAGAACAGCACCCGCGCACGCUGUCAUGCAAUACACCCGGAGAAGGACGCGAGGCCCAGCACGCGCAUCUUUAGGGCUCUGCGAGAAUCCGCUUCAUGCGGUAGCAGCUGUCUCCUCUCCAUCUCUUCAUCCAGUAUAAGAAUGGCCUCCCGUGCAAGAAGCAGCUGCAGCCGCACAUUGCCAAUCUGGAUACUACUCCCUCUCUUUAGCUCUCUAGCCACGUUCCUGAACUUGUGGUCAAGCCUGCGGAAAGGAUCAGCUUGUGGGAUCGUUACAACCCAAGCUACAGCCACAACGUCAUAGAAUCCGUGUAUCUUAGCCCAGAAUGCCUCAAAACGAAAACAACGUUUAGUUCGACCAGUACAUCGAAGCUCAAGAGGAGGGGACAGUGAUCAGAGCAGUCGGAAGAAAGCGGCUUCAAAAGAUGAUUAGAGAACCGGAUCAGCCAAUCCGCCGUGACAAAGACACGAUCAAGGAGCUCCAGCGUCGGAAGCACCGUUCCACUGGACCAAGUAAAGCGGCGUCUAGCGAGGCUAAUCUCAUCAAGCUGCGCCCGAUUAACGAAUGCCCAGAAUCUUGCCAUGCCUCUUCUGUCAAGCCUGUCGUUGUUCUUAUCAGCAGCGCUAAGAAUCAUGUUGAAAUCACCACAGACACACCAGGGUCCAUCCAUACCAUUUCUAAAGGCGAGGAGCUCAUCCACCGCAUCAUUGAGGGAAGUAUCACGCCCUCACCGAACUCAUCCCUUGGCAGGGUGCUCUCUUCAGCACCACAGGCAGCUGCGAACGUGCUAACACUUCUCUUCUCCUUCUUUUAGACUUUUGUAACCUGUAACGUUUUCCUUUUAUAAAUAAAGCACUGUAGGGGUGCAAACCCCUCCAGUUUUACUCAAAAAAAACAUGAGGCCGUAAUAGGUCACUUCACGUGCCCACAACCUUGUUCGAUGAAAUGUUGCACUGCGUCACCAAUAACCCUGUCACGCUGUGGCAGUUUUAAUUUGCUGCAUUCAUCCUUCACUGCAAUCGAAGCUCAAGGCAAGAUUACGACAAAUAUCUCACCAAGUAACAUGCUCAAAUCUCACUUGUGUAUAUAUGUUUGAUUGGAUGUUUUACUUUUCCUCUCAACAAACGUGUAGUACAAAUCUUUGCACGUCACUAAUAAAUUUCUUUGAUAGACUGAUAGGGACCAAAUCUUUGCACCAGGUAAACUGGCAUCUCACACAUGGAUGAACUCACGGACCAUAUGCAUGCCACCCUUAUAUCAACAGUUGUUUCAUUUGCGUGUUAAACCAUUGUUCUAGACUAGAGUGGACGAGUGCUUCAAAUAUUUUUUUUCCUAUGUCAUCCAUUGCAGACAACUUUACAUUUAUCUUGUGCUGAAAAUGCAUUCCAGUUCCACGGAACCCUCCUUUUAGUUGGACACCUAGCUUUUUAAGUCCAAGGAUAGCCACGAAAAAACAAAUAUUGGCAAACAUGAUCAGUCUUAUUUACACCACCGAAUCACGAUAUUGAGUUCCAGACAAAAUUUCUAAUAUCACAAACUCCAAGAUUUAUGGUGGCCCACUCAAAUGCAUGAUUGAACCCUCUUCUUAGCAGUAGUUGUAGAGACCGCUGUGGCCAUGGCAAGCUAGGGGAUCCAUGUACUUCUAUUUCCAAUAGAAUUUCAGCUGCUGCCGUACGUGAGAUUCUAGGUUCUGAAUUUCGUGUGUUCGUGCUUUUUCUUUGAAUCGAUCUUCACUCCUCACAAUUGGUAUCCAAAGCCACGUGUUCUUGGCCAAAAUUUUCUCAUCCCACUCGCGGUCCAGCUCUCGGAGUUUGGCAAGGGAGAUGCAGAUGCUACAUGACCAGGUCGUCCGGCCACGGUGGAGAGAGGCGCUGCGGAUAGCGGGGGAGGCAGCCGCUGUAGGGUGCGGUGAGAGAGAUGACUGGAGGGAUCUAGAACCAUCUCUAAUCUAACGGCUCGUAAAAACCCUGCGAGAGAUUCAGCAGCUGAAAAUUUGGGACAGGUGGCUUGAUGAGAGGCUGGAGUCCAUGGUGCAACUUUCGUCUUGUUGAAGAUUAAAGAUCCGUGAUGUCUCAGGUAGCAGCUCUCCCAGCCUAAGUACACGGCUCGGUGCAGAAUAAGUUGCAGACCAAAAGUAAGUUUAGUCUAAUGCAAUUACAAGGUAUAAGCGUGCUAGCUAAUUUGAUGACAUUUGUUGAUGUCCCUUGGAUGGCCGAUUGACGGUUCUGGAGAAAAACAGCGAGUCAUUGGUAGCUAGCCCCUGACGACUGAUUACUUGUAUCCUGAACAUAGUAAAAAGAGAGAUUUAGUCCUAAAAAAAUAGCUUUUCCUUCUAUGAUCAUUUUUUUUAACUUACCUCUAUAGCCCUGAAACGAUUUUUUGUCACUUUUAUGGCAUUCUGUUCAUUUUCAGCAGAUAACGAUGUUAAAUGGAGGAUAAAAAGACCAUUUUACCCUUGGCGUAAAAAAUUGUAGAGUUUUGUCUGUUUGCUGUAUAUUUGAGUAAUAUUUAGCAAAUAAAUUCAUAUAUAAUAGUAGGGCAUAUUUGGAGUCAAAAAAUGUGGAGUUUUGUUUGUAUACUAUGUGUGAAUUUAUUUGCUAAAUAUUACUCCAAAUAUACAACAGACAAACAAAACUCUACAAUUUUUUUACACCAAGGGCAAAAUAGUCUGUUUACCCUCUAGUUAACACUGGUCUCUGCUAAAAACGGAUGGAAGACCAUAGAAGUAAUAAAAGUUCGUUUGAAGGUCAUAAAGGUAAGUUCAAAAAAAGGACCAUAUAAGAAAAAGUCAUUUUUUCAGUCUCUAGUAAAAAUGACAUCUAGCCAGGACUAUUGUGCACCAGCCUUCGAAAGAACUUACCAACUAGUCGAAGAUUUAUUAUUUGAAGGUGAAAGAUCAAUCAUGUAUCAGACCAUGCUUUCCCUUUCCAUCUGCCGUACACACAACACAUUUACCUCCAUACAAAAAGAAUAGAAAGAAUAUGAAAUUAGCAGGCUACAAUCUUCAAUCCAGCGUAGUACUGUGAGAUGACAGACAGUGAGACAACAACAAACAACAUGGUGAGAUGGUGAGCUGGUACUGCAGCACACAACCCUUCACAAUCUCGGCACUCAGAUCUGGAGCAUUUGGGGGCAUCGGAUCCAGAGAGAAGAGGCAACACUCGAGCAGCAGGGUUGAUGGGGGCGAGCGGAAGGACCUGUAGUGGUUGGGGGAGGGGGAGCUCUUGGGGCGGCGGUGGAAGACAUCCGUGAUGGCGAAGGGAUGGCCAUUGGCGACGGAGGAAGAGAUGGCCGGCGGGGGCGGCGGAAGCAGCUUGGUAGCAGCCGACUAUGGAUUCCGGUGGGUGGUGGUGUGGCGGAUUUGGUGAGGUGGCAAGGAGCGAAUAGCGGGCGACGGACGGGAGAAGUGCGCGUCGGAUUGGAUCGCCUAAUAUAUAUAAGCGCAUGUGCCAUUUUUUAUGUGUGGCAACGGAUCUAGUGUAAACUCAUCUCCUGUGUAAACUGUGCAAACUCUAAUGUGGACCGCAGGAUGUUGAUCCAAGAAGGUGCAUGAGAGAGGUGGAAGGAGGAAUUUGUAAAAGUGUGAAUAAGAGUGGGCAUUUAAGUGCAAAAUUACUCAAUCUCUCCGCCCCUUGGAUCAACAUCCUGUAGUCCAGAUUAAAGUUUGCACAGUUUAUACGGGAGAUGAGUUUACACUAAAUCUAUUGCCUUUUUACGUUGCUGUGCCGUUCUGCCCAGCGUUUUUGCUGCGCGCUGAUAUUUUCACAGCGCGUGCCUCGCGCCCUUGCCAAUUCCAGCGUGCGCCAAGGUUGGACCCCCUGUUUCUGAGUCGGUACGCAUGGACCAUCAGUGUAAAGGCUCAAUGCUCAAUGCUCCUGUCGUUCCCUUGGCCCUACCAUCAGGGGGAAAAUACUUUCAGGUAGAGUGGUGAGAGGGCAAUUUAGUGUUUGGGUCACAAGUGGAUUAUCAUACUCAAAAUUAUGCAUGUGAUCAUUAUAAUCAGAAUUUUAGAUUAAUAAAUAAUCAAGAGUGUUUGGAUCCCUAGAUUAUCAUGGUUGAGUCUAGUUGAAGUGACAAGUUCUUAUCUACCCUUUAGAUUGGCGCCACUUUUGAGCUGACUAUUAAACCGUGUGUAUUUGUGGGUGUCUAGGUUCAUGUCAUAGUCUAGAUACUUUGGUUAACCAUAGUCCUAGAUUGUAGGGCAAGUAGAUACUUAGCAUGCAGUUUGUUGUAACCAUAUUAUCUUGUUGUGUAAGCCACGGUGGGGGCUGUUCCCACCUUUAUAUAACACGCAACCGAGGGAGCAAGGCUCAACCUCGUUAACCCCAGUUGCCAUCUCUUUUUACAUGGUAUCGGAGCCAUCCAACUCCCUACGGAGAAACUUCAUGGCGUUCCAUCUAGCUUCGUCCUCCGGUGCAUCUACUGUGCCGUCCUUCGGUUUCUCGGUGACGGAGAAACUCGCCCACAACAACUACCCCAUGUGGAAGAUGCAAGUCCUCUCGGCGCUCAAGGGAGCGCAGCUCGCGUCCUUCAUCAACUCCGAAGCCAAGCCGCCUUCGUCGUUCCUGGAACCGAUGAAAGUCGAGGACAAGAAGGAGCCACCCAAGACCAAUCCUGAAUUCGAGUCUUGGGUCGCUAAGGAUCAGACGGUCCUUCACUUCCUCCUAUCUUCGCUGUCCAAGGAGAUCCUUGGACAAGUUCCCACCACCGUGGCAUCUGCAAAGGAGGCGUGGACGGCCAUCGAUGGGAUGUUUGCAUCCCAGUCUCGCGCGCACAUCAUCAGCACGCGGAUGGCCUUGGCAACGGCGUCCAAAGGGGCGUCAUCGAUCAGUGAGUUUUUCGUUAAGAUGAAAGCUUUGGUUGAUGAAAUGGCUUCUGCUGGCCGUAAGAUCGAAGAUGAGGAGCUGGUCUCCUACAUUCUUAUGGGUUUGGACAGGGAAUAUGAUCCCGUGGUGUCGGCGGUGGCGGCACGUGUCGAACCAAUCUCAGUUGGGGAACUUUAUACCCAGCUGACAAGUUUUGAGCAGAGAAUGGAGAUGAAGAAUGGCGGCGGUGGCUAUCAGUCAUCGUCAAACAUGGCGUCCAGAGGAGGACGUGGCAAUUACCGCGGCGGCGCUCGCGGUGGAGGUGGUCGCGGUGGCUUUGGCUGUGGCCAGAGAGGCGGACGCACCAGCGGUCGCCCACAGGGAAGCUUCCAAGCUGGCGUCAUCUGUCAGCUAUGCGGCAAGGAAGGGCACACUGUCGUCAAGUGCUUCAAACGGUUUGAUGCCUCAUUCACAGGACCUCCAUAGAAGUCAGCUUCUUCUACGACUACCUCGUAUGGGGUGGACACAAACUGGUACAUGGACACUGGUGCAACCGAUCACAUAACAAGUGAUCUUGAGAAGCUGACCACAAGGGACAAGUACAAUGGUGGUGACCAAGUGCACGCUGCAAACGGGAUCGGUAUGGAAAUAACUCACAUUGGUCAUAGUACUUUACGUUCCCCUUCCAGCAAUAUUCAUCUAAGUAAUAUUCUACGUGUUCCCAAGGCAAACAAAAACCUAGUCUCUGUACAUCGUCUUACUCGUGAUAAGAAUGCUUAUGUUGAAUUUCAUCCAAAUCAUUUUCUUAUCAAGGAACAGGCGACGAAGAGAACCCUCCUUCAAGGCAGAUGUGAAGGAGGGCUCUAUCCCCUACAUUCUCCCUCCAGCCAGUCAUCCAAAAAUAAAGAAGUCCACAACGUCAUCAAGCCGUCAUCAUCCUUGUGGCAUCAUAGGCUAGGUCAUGCUGCUGCUCCAGUAGUACAACAAGUGCUUAGUCGCCACAAGAUUUCUUUUUCUAGAGAUUUGAAUAAUAAUAUUUGUAAUGCCUGUCAGCAAGGCAAAAGUCAUCAAUUACCAUAUCCACGUUCUACUAGUGUGUCUACUAGACCAUUAGAACUUGUUUUCUCUGAUGUUUGGGGUCCUGCACCAACCUCUGUCGGCCGCAAUAAUUACUAUGUGAGCUUUAUUGAUGAUUAUAGUAAGUUCACAUGGAUUUAUCUCUUGCGUUACAAAUCCGAAGUUUUUCAAUGCUUCAAGGAUUUCCAACAGCUUGUUGAACGGCAAUUCGGCCAUAAAAUUCUAGCUAUGCAAACUGACUGGGGAGGAGAAUAUCAAGCUCUUAGCCCUUUCUUCAGACGUGUAGGUAUUGCCCAUCACGUCUCUUAUUGCCCUCAUGCACAUCAACAAAAUGGGUCUGCUGAAAGGAAACAUCGACACAUUGUUGAAGUUGGCCUUUCACUCCUUUCACAUUCAUCCAUGCCUCUAAAGUUCUGGGAUGAAGCUUUUCUAACAGCGGUUUACUUGAUAAAUUGUUUACCCUCCAAAGUUAUAAAUAAUGAGACUCCCUACACUAGGUUGCUUGGCCAAGAACCCAACUAUCAUUUCCUACGCACGUUUGGUUGUGCCUGUUGGCUAAACAUGCGCCCCUACAAUGAAAGGAAACUCCAAUUUAGGUCUAAGCACUGUGUGUUUCUUGGGUAUAGUAACUUUCAUAAAGGUUACAAAUGUCUUGAUCCCUCUCAAGGGCGUGUUUAUAUUUCAAGAGAUGUAGUUUUUGAUGAAAACAUCUUUCCCUUCGCAUCCCUGCACUCCAAUGCCGGUGCUCGUUUGAGGACUGAGCUAAGUCUUCUACCUGAUAUACUUCUUAACCCGAUUUUCACACUUGGGGACGUACAAGUACAUGAUCCUUUGAUGAGUAAUUCUAUGCCAACUAACCCUGUGUACAGCCCUGGUGGAGCCACUGCUUAUGCAGGAACUGAUCGUGAGCCGGUUACUGAAGAAAGCGGUGGACAAUCUGUAGAAACUCCAAACAAUAGCCCACAUCCUAUGUGUUUCCCCGGCGGGAGCAGCACCGAGCCCGGAGAUGCUCCGCCUGUGGACGCUGGCGUAUCCGCUUCGGGAUCGGCAGGCGAGCCGCGUCAGUCCGAAUCGGGUCUGGCCCAAGGAUCUUCUGUGAGCGACCGUGGUUCACUCGUGCCUGAUGGUUCAGCUGUGGCUGCACACGAUGAUCAGCGGCGGGGUGCACUAACAGCCGGAACUGAUCCCGAUGUGGAUCUGGCGACUGGAUCCACUGCGGCGUGCCCUGAUGUUCCAACUUCGUUGCCAUCCUCACAUCAACACGCAACAUGCCUCCGCCAAUGUAUUAGCAAACCCAAACAGUUUACUGAUGGCACUGUUCGUUGGUGUAUGCAUUCUAAGUCUACAGCGGAGGAGCCUGCUACUGUUGGAGAUGCACUUCGUGAUCCAAAUUGGGUCGUUGCAAUGGAUGUGGAGCAUCAAGCACUACUCCGCAACAGGACUUGGCACCUUGUUCCACCUCCAGUUGGUAAGAAUAUUAUUGACUGCAAAUGGGUCUAUAAGGUCAAAAGAAAGGCAGAUCGUUCGAUUGAUCGUUACAAAGCACGUAUUGUGGCCAAGGGGUUUAAGCAGCGGUAUGGUAUUGACUACGAGGACACGUUUAGUCCUGUAGUCAAGGCGGCGACUAUACGGCUUGUUCUAUCCAUUGCAGUCUCUAGAGGUUGGUCACUGCGACAACUUGAUGUUCAAAAUGCUUUUUUACAUGGAGUUCUAGAAGAGGAAGUAUAUAUGCGUCAACCACCAGGGUACACUAACCAAGCAUGUCCUAAUUAUGUGUGCAAAUUGGACAAAGCUCUGUAUGGAUUAAAACAAGCUCCACGUGCAUGGUAUGCCAGGCUAUGCGGCAAGCUUGAAGCAUUAGGAUUCACUUCCUCCAAAGCUGACACUUCCUUGUUCUAUUAUAAUAAAGGAAGCAUUAAUUUGUUUGUGCUAGUCUAUGUGGAUGAUAUCAUUGUUGCAAGUUCCUCACAGAAAGCUACUGAUGCACUACUUCGUGACCUACAACAUGAUUUUGCACUCAAGGAUUUGGGAGAUCUCCAUUAUUUCUUGGGUAUAGAGGUCAGAGAAAGUGCGGUGAUGGUUUGGUUCUGUCUCAAGAACGAUAUGCCUCAGACAUUCUGUCACGAUCUAGAAUGCAUAAGUGUAAGCCAGUCGAUACACCAUUACCUAGCACCGAGAAGCUCAGCAUAGAAGGGGGAACUAAGCUUGGUUCUGAUGAUUCAUCUUGGUACAGGAGCUUGGUUGGAGCCUUAUAGUAUCUAACACUUACUAGGCCGGACAUUUCCUUUGCAGUGAAUAAGGUAUGCCAGUUUCUGCACGCCCCAACUACAAUACACUGGAGCGCUGUGAAACGAAUCCUGCGGUAUGUACAAGGCACCAUUGAUCUUGGACUCAGAAUUGGACCCUCUAGGAGUAUGCUUGUGAGUGCUUUCUCUGACGCUGAUUGGGCAGGUUGUGUUGAUGAUAGAAGAUCUAUAGGUGGCUUUGCUGUUUUUCUUGGCAGCAAUUUAAUCUCUUAGACUGCUAAGAAACAAUCAACUAUGUCGCGGUCAAGCACUGAGGCUGGAUACAAGGCUUUGGCAAAUGCAACUGCAGAGAUGAUCUGGGUUCAGAAAUUGUUGAAGGAACUCCAAGUCCAACACCCAGCCAUGGCACGGUUGUGGUGUGAUAAUUUAGGUGCUAAGUAUUUCUCAGGAAAUCCAAUUUUCCAUGCGAGAACAAAACACAUAGAAAUUGAUUUCCAUUUUGUCAGAGAGAGGGUAGCACAAAAAUUACUAGAUAUUAGAUUUAUCAGUUCUGGUGACCAGGUGGCUGACGGGUUUACCAAGGCUCUUCCCACUGUGAAACUAAAGAAGUUCAGAGACAAUCUCAACCUUGUAAACGGCUGAGAUUGAGAGGGGAUGUUAAACCGUGUGUAUUUGUGAGUGUCUAGGUUCAUGUCAUAGUCUAGAUACUUUGGUUAACCAUAGUCCUAAAUUGUAGGGCAAGUAGAUACUUAGCAUGUAGUUUGUUGUAACCAUAUUAUCUUGUUGUGUAAGCCACGGUGGGGGCUGUUCCCAGCUUUAUAUAACACGCAACCGAGGGAGCAAGGCUCAACCUCGUUAACCCCAGUUGCCAUCUCUUUUUACACUGACAUUGGUUGUUGCAUCUGUUGCCGCUAUGCACACACAGCCGUGCUCUUUUUUCUUUUGCUACUGAUUCUAGAAAAGGUGUGUGAAUGCGUCAGCACUUUCUGUCCACAAGUCCAUGCGGCAGAGAGAAAAUCAGAUGACAGGAGAGAAAAGGAACGGCGAGAGGGCAAUUUAGACUUUUAGGAUCCAUAUAUAUUCGCCAAAAAUGAAGUUUUUUCUUUGGUUAUCGUAUUACAGUAAUCCAAUGAUUUGAUUAUAACAAUCCAAAACAUAAUUGAUCUUGUUUGGAUCAUAAUCUGAUUACAUCAUAAUAAGGGUAUCUAAACGCCUUAGACCUUGUUUGGAUCAUAUUCUAAUUACAAUAAUCAUAAUAAGGGUAUCCAAAUUGGGUCUCAUCUUCUUUGGAUCAUAAUCCAUCUGAUUACAAUGAUCAUGACGGUAUCCAAACAGGGCUUUUGACUUUCAACAUCCAUAAUCGCCAAAAAUAAGUUUUUGGGAUUAUGGGAUUAUGGUACUAAGAGGAUUUGAUUAUAAUAAUUCAUAACAUAAUUGAUCUUGUUUGGAUCAUACUCUGACUAUAUAAUUAGAUUACAAUAAGGCCAGUCUCAAUGGAGUUUUAUUAGAGUUUCAUGCACAUUAAAUAUGCUGAUGUGACACUGUAUUAAUGAAGAAAGAGAUGAUAAGAGUUUCAUGGGAGUAGAGAGAGUUUCAUCCCCAUAAAACUCUUCUGCACUAUUUGUAAAAUAUAGAUAUAUUAGAAACUGAGCCAUAAAACCUCAGUUGAGGAUGGCCUAAGGGUAUCAAACAGGGUCAUAUCUCCUUACAUAUGACAACAAACAUACGUGAACCAUGCAAUGGAGCUGAUUCAAAGAAAGCAAUUUCAAUUUGCAAUAAUGUCUCUUUUCCGAACUCAUUCAUGUUUGUGACAAACCUACUUUCUAUUGGUAAAUAAAAUAUAGAUAUUAUUAUUUUUAACCCCAGUUUUAAACUACAUAUAAAAAGUAUUUAUGUUUUUUAGAAAAUAAAUAAUAAAUAUUGUUCACAAAUUGCUACCGCUAAACAUAUCAGAAUUCUACUAGUGUCGUGUUGCUACCCAACACCACAUUAUAUGCUUCAAUUGCCAUCCCUCCAGUAUGAGGUGGUAACCAGGGGUGGAUCCAACAUGGGGCUAUGGGGGCUCAUGCCCCCUACUACUUGCUAGGGCUCCAUAGAAAAAGAAGAUGAGGCUGAAUUAACAAAUGGCUAAUUAACCAGACAUUGAAAUGUAUACUCACCUAUGGGUGACUCUACUACUAGAAGAGUCAGUGUUAGUUGUUCGUUGAAGAAACAGUAGAAGGAAAGCCUAUAGCUACACCAAACGGAAGCUACCCUCCUCGGGGUCAGCUCAGGAGUGAAACCACCAACGCAUAAACAGUAGAAGGAAAGCCUGUAGUUACACCAAACAUAAGCUACCCUACUCGGGGUCAGCUCAGGAGUGAAACCACCAACGCAUCUAGUAGUUCGCUUUGACAAAUGUCACAAUCCUGUAGUGUCAUAGAUGGCAGAUAUUGUGUGGCUACACAAACUGUGGAUUGAAGGUCAAUUGUGUUGACAUUCAUCUACAUCGUGGCAAAGUAGGAAGGGGACAUUGUUCUCCCAUGUACCACAACUUUCUGUAGCUUAUCAAUGACAUUGACAUCAACAAAAUGUGUUGUCGUGAAUUACUAACUCAGUGCUCUCAAGACUCCUUACGACUAUACUGAUUGAAAGGGUCAUGAGGGAACAUCUUUAUCUUAUUUUAUAAUAGCCUACAAUGCACCCUCCUGAUUGACAGAAGACCCAUGCAUCUUUGAAAGCGGCAACAACACAUCUCUCGUACCCUAAGCUACUAGAGUAUCGCCAACACUACGUGAGUGCAUACAUAGACCUUCCUACCCUUGCGUGAAGUAACAAACUAAGAAAUAUCAAAAUUCUACUAGUGCCCAGCUACUACACAUCACCAUAUCAUUUGCUUCGAUCAAACCUCUCCAUCCUUAUACUAUGAGGUGGUAAACAGGAGUCAAUCUAGCAUGGGGACUAUGGGGGCUCAUGCCCUCGUACUACUUGCCAGAGCUCCAUGGAGUUAUUAAUAGACAGGGAGGAGAGAGGGGAAGAGUGAAGAAAAGAGAGAGAGGAAGAAGUAGAUGGGCUGAAUAAAACUUAUUACCGCAGAGAAUGUUUCCUUGAUAUCCUGCUACCACCCAAACCCAAAAAGAUACAUUGUGUCCAUUGUUGUUUGUUUUGAAGCAAGUGGCCAAACAAUUCAUGCAAAUGCAUGUAACCACAUAAGUGUAAGUCACUAAAUCAAUAGAAUAGAAAAUUAACAAAGAUUGCAACAUAUGCUCACCAAUGGGUGGUUUUGUUGGAAGGGUUAGUGUUGACUGUUCGUUGAAGAAACGAUAAAAGAAAAGCUUGUGGCCACACCAGACUAAAGUUACCCUACUAGAGUCACCUUAGGAGUAACAACACAUCUAUUAGUUUUUUCAAACAAAUGUUGCAAUCCUGAGAUGUCAACAAUGGCAAACACUGUGUGAUUAUGUAGAGUGUGACUUGAAGGCUAGUUGUGUUGACCUUUGUCUGCUUGGUGGCGAAGUAGGAAUGAGAGGUUGUUGUCCCAUGUGACAUAGCCUCGUGUAGCUUCUCAAAGUAGGGUGGAUCUAGAAUGGGACUAUAUGGGGGCUCAAGCCCCCCCUACUUGCCCAUGGUGGCAAGAAAAAGAGAGAGAUGUAAAAGAAUAUUGGACUAAAUGAGGAAGAAGGGAGAUAAGCACCCCUAAGACCUAAUUUAAUACAAAAUAGAUCGAAUAAUUCAAAAUAGGUAGAAUAAUGUGAUAUCUAGAACUUAGCAAGAUCAAGAACGUACUUAGUUUUGAAAGAAUUCUAAUAGCAUAGCAAUAACAAUGGUCCUUCAAAUUAAAUCAUGUCCAUAUCAAUUAACAACAAAUCAAUUAUCAAGCUAGUAUAGAUCUAUAUUGAGCCAUAUCAAAUAAUAUAUUUACAUUGCACUGAACCACUUCAUGUCUUUGAGAUAUUUUGAAUAAUUCGGGUAAUUGUGGUACCGGUGAAUAUUAUCCAAACUAAAUUCUGUUAAAUUACACAAGUACAAACGUAGACGUUCAACACACAUGCACACUCACCCCCUAUAAACACAUGUACGUAAAAUCCUACCCCUAUGAGUACCUUCGAAAGACUAUGCAGUCACAUCUUGAAAUUGAUGAAGUUACCACAGACGCCUCGCUAUUGAUAAGAACAUCACUACCACUGAAAGCAUAACGCUACUAAAUCCUGAAUUAAAUCCCAAAAAAUUCGAGCACCCGUACCAAGUCCAAAACUGGAAUCUAGAUGAGCAGGUUCCACCACAAGGAACCUAACUAUUUGAGCUAGGCUCAGUUUACAAAUUUAGAUAUUUAUAGUUAGAAUCCGAAACUGUUAUUGUGUAGUAAGACAAAAUUGUUAUUGGGUAUUUUGGCUUCAGAUACUUUGGGUGUGGAUUUGAGUAAUUUAUUUAUAGGGGAUUGAGUUUGGGUAUAUUUUGCCUAAGAGGCCGGGUUGCUGGGUUUGGGCAAAACACAGAAGGCUCGGUUUCCUAAUGCGGAAAGAGAACGCGUGCUAGACGCCUAGACUGCUAGUGACUCCUCGUGCCCACCAGAUCCUGGUCACUCUUUGUCGUUGUGUACUUGUGUGCACUCACACCAUUGGCAAUUUGAUCCUAAAAAAUUCACUUCUAGUUUGUUUCUGAGUGACUGAGCCGUUACACAUACUAGUAUAAGCCGCGCGCAUCUACGCGCGAGCACAGGUGAUCAUUUUCAGGUCAGGUAGAUGUAGAAUAUAUUUUUUUGAUGUGCAAGAAAUCUUCAUCACAUGCUAUAAUUCUGAGUAAACAGUUAUCUUAUAGUCGGACCACACCUGUUCAGCGAAGCAAAUGGCAAAAAUGAAUUGCAAGAAUAUUAAUUCUUAAAAAGCUCAGCAGCUGUACCCAACCAAAACAUCAAGUAUAGCCCUAUGAAACUUUAGCCAUGAAUUUUCCAUCCGGAGUCCAAUAACUUGCAAUGGAAACCAAGUCUACGUAUUAAUAGAUUACAUGGGAAGAUAUCAAUUGACAUUUUACGUGAAAAAAAAGAUAGCACUUGACAUCAGUGAACAUGUAAGAGGAGGUAAAACGUAUAUCUUGUUUGUAGGCAAUGCACUCUACUUGGACCAGUGUGUGCUUUCGGUGUGCAAGUCUAUCAAGAAUGCCCACUUUGCUCAUUUCUGUCUAUCCUGAAAAGUGAUGGCGUGAGAUAAAUAAAGAGAACCGAUGAUUAAAACAUACUCAAUAUGAAUUAUUUGCAAAAGGAAGGGCUGUGUGAAGAGUGGAAGGACAAAGGAGGUUGUUGUAAUAGAAUUAUCAUUUGAGUAGAAUUCAAUCCGAGAGAGCACAUGAAGGAGCCUUGGUAAAAUUACCUUUGCGAUAUCCGAAUUCAAUUGAGAAUCUAAGAAUCACAAUAGAAUGAUGACGAAGCAGCAAUUUAACUCUCCCCAUUGAUCAAGCAGGCUGACUACACAAGAAAAGCAGCCACUUUAUUUUUUUUUUCAUGAUUCUUAACGAUGUGACAUGAAAACUGAAUAUAUGCUUUAUCUUAUCAAAACACAAAAGAUGAACCAUGCAGAACAAUGUUAGCUAAAAACCCAUGUAUAUCUAUCUGCCACUUCCACCAUACCUAGGACAUUGCUUUUAUCUUAUCAAACAAUAAAUAGGUUUGAAAUAAUAUUCUUGUAGUACUAAUUCAUAGGAAUAGUAUGAAUAUAAAGGUAAGGAAUUGCUUCGUCUGCACCUCUGUCUAUUUACACAUUUUGAAGGAGUAGACAUGUAGAAGGUAAAAUUCCUCUCAUAACAUCUAAAUAAGAUAUAGCAAUGUGGAGGCAUGGUGAGAGUAACUCUGUUGGAGGGACAAGAAAAUUCUAGAAAUACAGUCCCCAGCAAUGGUAUAUCUUGUUGACUAAUCACACACACGGUUCACAAAUGAUUUUCUAACAUUCGCUAAACAGAGGCAAAGAUUCAGCCUUUUAAAAGACCAGUGCAGGAUAGAAUGUAUGAACAAUUUGAUUACAUGAGAAGAAACUAUAGUUUUAUAAUGUAUAAGGAGACACCGGUCCUGGCAUCAAGAUCAGCCAACUGAUGAGAUGCCGAGGCCUUCAGAUUUUUCAUUAUGUCAGUUUUAUUACUAUAUUCUAGCAGGUAUAGGCACCAUGCUAGCUAAAUUCAAGAAAUAGGGCAUCACGGUCACCAUCUUUUAGGUCUUGAUUUUCUUUGGAUCUUGGCAGGUAGAACCAUUUCCACAUAUUAAUUCAAUUUAUAGUUUCAAGUGGGUGACAUAAUCCGAGAGUUAAAAAACAGACACCAAGUAAAUAGCUCAAUCAAGACUAUAUUUUCUCUUUUUUCUAUUGAGGUCUACUUUUGAGGAUUAUUCAGUUGAUACAAAAAAUGAUAUAAAAUUAUAGGAUAGUCACAAAUAGACUGCAUCUACAGGGCAAAGAAUUCAAUCGAUAUAUGCGCAAGAGGGGAAAAUAACUCCAAAUAUGGUGGUACGAAUUAAAGUGCUGGGAAAAUAGCUGUAUAUUCAUUUUUAGUGCAAUGCUUUGAGAUUCAUCCUCUAUUCUCUCCUGGAUUGUUCUUAGCAAGCAGCCUACAGAUCAAAAGAAACCAUUUGACAGAGAAUCAGACAGCACUCAAGGGAUGGCCAUAAAGCAAAUACCUUUUAUAUGGAAAAAUUGUCUCCAUCACCAAAUUGGUUUGCUUCUUCUCCUAAUCCAUCUCCCUCCGCCAUAUGAAAUUGUUGUUCAUAUCUUGCUGCCCUGAGGACAAGGGGUCACGAGAACCAAAUAUGGAGAAGCAGCUUACAUUGGCAAGCCUUGGGUCACACAAAGAAGCUUACCUCUGCUAAUGCUGUCUUGGUUCACAUAGACAAGGUUACCAAUCGAGAACACCCCUUUGUGGAAAACCACACACUACCAACCUCUUUAUGGAAAAUAGAACUUACAGGAAGGGUCUUAAUAAGACUUAAGAAAGAUAUAAUGCUUCACAUGGAGCAUAGUAAAUUGUUUUUUAUGGUUGAAAAUUCCUAUUGCAGUACUUUAUCCAGCAUUUAGAACAAACAACAACAGCAAAAAACAGUACUGAUCAGCAGGGGCAAUGUAUACUAACCUCCAAAAAUAAAGGUAAAUGUAGUACAAAGGGCACCAUAUAUACUAACCUCUAAAUUGUACUGGCCAGCAAGCACAGUGAAGUUUAAACUUAAAUAUGUUAGUUGAUGUGCCAGAAGGAUAAGACCAAAACAUAUAAGGAAGAAAACAAAGAAGAUAGAUCUGCACCAAGCAGAAACAGAGGGUCCCAUUGCAGUCACCCAACUAUAUGAACCUGUGCCAAGUAAAUGCAUCAUUGGCAAUGAGAUGUGCUCAGUAAUAUAACAAUUAACAAAUUAUGUGGAUCAAAGAGAUCAUUGACAAUGGAAUUAUGCUUGGUAACAAACCCACAAAAUGUAGGAACUAAAUAUAAACAAAACAACACGUGCAAAUGAGAACUUCUGAGCCAUUAUGACAUUGCCAUCACAAAAUUAAUGCAAGUAGCAAGAAUCAUGGUAAAUCAAAUAAUCAUCACAUUUGCAAGACAAACCUAUUUUUUGAAAGUGAAAUUAUCUUGUUGGCAUGGAUGCUUUGCAAGCGAGAAUAAAAAUUCAUCCCAAAACCAAAAUAUCUCAAUAGGCAAACAUUAAAUAUUAGUUGCAUACAACCGUAGCUGAUGUAGAGCUGCUAUUCUAAAAAGGGUGAAAUUUCUUAAUAGUAGCAUGAAAAAGGCAUGGGAUCUAAUUUGCUUGCUAUGAGAAUUUGUGAGUGAUGCCACGGUGCCAUAUGCUAACCAACAUAGCAACAGUUACGUUAUAUAGAGAUAACUUAAACAUUACCAAUUUCAAAGCAUGAUAAAUUCAGCCUCAGAAAUAAAAUGUGAACAAGCUAGUAACAAUAGUGACUACCUGCUUGGCCUGAAACAAUAUGCUCCACCCAAAACAAAACACUUUCAAGACAACAAUCAAGUUGGAUGAAGCAAAUAGCUACGUCAGAACUAAGAGUUGUUCUAGAUUUAAGCAACAGCUAACUACAUAUUUAAAAUAUCUACCGAUUCAUAACGGUAUGCACAUCAAUAAACACUGGGAAACUUGCAGCCAAAUUAGUAGCAAAAAGAUGAGGAUAGGCAGCUAGGGUUUUCUGUAGCACAGGCGCACAGUUCGUGUGCAUAUAGAUCCCAUCCAUAGCAAACUGGAACAAACCUCCGUGAACACUAGGAGAGGGAGAUCUGGCAGGAAGAGGUAAGGGGAGAGAGGGGGGACCAAACCGAGGAGGGGAUGGUGCGAGGACUGCCGAGAGAAGGUUGCACUACGGGCUAGGGCAGCCGUGCAGCGCACUAUGCCAGGAGGUGGCCACCACGGCACCACCAGGCCGUUGGCGUGGAUGCUCCGCACAGCGGCGGCGGCGGCGGCGGUGGCCAUAGCGCUCGCAUGUGGAGGUGGCCGCACUGGGGCCGGUCCUCUGCGUCACCACGUCGACAGAGAGAGAGAGAGAGAGAGAGAGGUGAAGAGGGAGGAGAGGGAGAGGGAAGGAAGGCGCAGGCAGGCAAGGGGAUGGGGGCGCGAGCAGCGUAGUCGACGAGGCGGCGUGGAGAGGAGUAGCCAAGCAGGAGCGGAAGGGGCCUAGGGAGGCCGGGCGUGGAA
rnacentral:lncRNA from 1 species